rnacentral:rRNA from 1 species
UGGGGAAUAUUGGACAAUGGGCGCAGGCCUGAUCCAGCAAUGCCGCGUGAGUGAUGAAGGCCUUAGGGUUGUAAAGCUCUUUCGCACGCGACGAUGAUGACGGUAGCGUGAGAAGAAGCCCCGGCUAACCUCGUGCCAGCAGCCGCGGUAAUACGAAGGGGGCUAGCGUUGUUCGGAAUUACUGGGCGUAAAGGGCGCGUAGGCGGCCUGUUUAGUCAGAAGUGAAAGCCCCGGGCUCAACCUGGGAAUAGCUUUUGAUACUGGCAGGCUUGAGUUCCGGAGAGGAUGGUGGAAUUCCCAGUGUAGAGGUGAAAUUCGUAGAUAUUGGGAAGAACACCGGUGGCGAAGGCGGCCAUCUGGACGGACACUGACGCUGAGGCGCGAAAGCGUGGGGAGCAACAGGAUUAGAUACCCUGGUAGUCCACGCCGUAAACGAUGAAUGCUAGACGUCGGGGUGCAUGCACUUCGGUGUCGCCGCUAACGCAUUAAGCAUUCCGCCUGGGGAGUACGGCCGCAAGGUUAAAACUUAAAUGAAUUGACGGGGUCAUAGCUGUUUCCU